GACGAACGCUGGCGGCGUGCUUAACACAUGCGAGUCGAACGGAAAGGCCCUGCUUUUGUGGGGUGCUCGAGUGGCGAACGGGUGAGUAACACGUGAGUAACCUGCCCUUGACUUUGGGAUAACUUCAGGAAACUGGGGCUAAUACCGGAUAGGAGCUCCUGCUGCAUGGUGGGGGUUGGAAAGUUUCGGCGGUUGGGGAUGGACUCGCGGCUUAUCAGCUUGUUGGUGGGGUAGUGGCUUACCAAGGCUUUGACGGGUAGCCGGCCUGAGAGGGUGACCGGCCACAUUGGGACUGGGAUACGGCCCAGACUCCUACGGGAGGCAGCGGUGGGGAAUAUUGCACAAUGGGCGGAAGCCUGAUGCAGCAACGCCGCGUGCGGGAUGACGGCCUUCGGGUUGUAAACCGCUUUCGCCUGUGACGAAGCGUGAGUGACGGUAAUGGGUAAAGAAGCACCGGCUAACUACGUG
rnacentral:rRNA from 1 species